GGGAUGCGAUAAGUGGUCAUUGCUCGCAUUUAAAAAUAUGCGAGAAGGGCGUUCCAGCCCAAAGCCUUACGGCAAUCUGGGAGCUCACACUUAUACCAAUCUGAUCCC